GCGCCUGUAGCUCAGUGGAUAGAGCACUCGCCUCCGAAGUGAGGGGUCACAAGUUCGAGUCUUGUCAGGCGCG
rnacentral:tRNA from 1 species